rnacentral:rRNA from 1 species
AUGCCUAACAGAGGUCACAACCCCGAACCCCGCCGCCCAGAUCCAGCCAAGGUGGAUCCCAGGCCCCGGGUUGCACCAGCCGUCGAGGCAGCACCACCGGCAGCAGGCGCCCCACCACCUCCGAUGCCGAGCAGGGACGCCACCGUGUCUCCGCUGCGCCACACCGCCAAUGUCACCGGCGGCCAGAUCCGAGCCGUCGUUGGGGGGAGGGGGGAGGGGAGCUGCGCCGGAAAGAUGCCCCCCCGCCGCCGCACUGCCAGGGCUUUGCCCCGCAGCGGACCACGACGUCGGCGAGGAAGGGAGGCGGGGAAGGAGGCGCCGGCGGCGAGGCGGAUAGGGUUCCCCCGUGUUGCCUUAGAGAGGGACGCGGGGGUCAGGAGAGAGGAUUAUAGUUAG